GAUGAUGCCUAUCAACUGUUUAAAGUAUGUUCUGCUAUCACUCUUGGAUGGACCUGCGGUGCAUUAGCUAGUUGGUAGGGGUAACGGGCCUACCAAGGCGAUGAUGCAUAGCCCGAGUUGAGAGACUGAUCGGGCCACAUUGGGACUGAGACACGGGCCCAAACUCCUACGGGAGGCAGCAGUAGGGGAAUCUUCCACAAUGGACGCAAAGUCUGAUGGAGCAAAACGCCGCGUGAGUGAAGAAGGGUUUCGGCUCGUAAAAGCUCUGUUGUUGGUGAAGAAGGACAGGGGUAGUAACUGACCCUUUGUUUGACGGUAAUCAAUUUAGAAAGUCACGGGCUAACUACGUGCCCAGCAGCCGCGGUAAAU
rnacentral:rRNA from 1 species